UGUUCCCUAUUUACAGUUGUGGUGACAGUGGAAGAUAUGCUAUGGUUGGUUAAUUUUUUUUUUUUUUUUCAGUUCUAGGGUUUGAACUCAGGGUCUAUGCUUGCUAAGCCCUUGAACCACUUGAACCACACCUCCAGCUCUUAAAAUAUACUGUGAUUGUGACUGCUAAAAGCCUGGACAACUGACUUGCUUUUACUUGAUCAGGGUGUUGACCUUGGUGACUCUAGUGUCAUAGAGCCUCCCAGCCUGUUUGAUCUGGUGCUUAUUGCCUUGCUGUCCACAGUGAACUUAAUGAAUCUUCCAAUCUGAAAAAGUCUUCCAAGAAAAUUUCAGUUUUAAAAAUAAGUAAUGUCACCCAUUUUCCUAAAAGAUUGAAAUGGGAGCUAUCAUUUUGAGGUGAGUACCCAAUUUUACAUUUUUAAUCUCUUACAUUAGUUUUCUAGAAGUUAAAUAUGGAAGGAAAAUGUGAAUAUUGGUUAGAUUCUGAAUGUUUUAGUAAAUCUCUGAGGUGUUGGAAAUCCUAGGAUUUGCUUUAAGACAGUCUGAUAUUUAGGGUUAUGUAACACAGAGUUAAGAACAGAGCUUCAUGAAGGAAAAAGGGCAGGGGUCGAAAGUAGUAGUGGAAAACUUUUUAAGGAGGUUAACUGACAACUGAAGAAGCUUUUGGUU
rnacentral:lncRNA from 1 species